rnacentral:rRNA from 1 species
CCUGGUGGCGAUGGCGAGGGGGAAACACCCGACCCCAUCCCGAACUCGGCAGUUAAGCCCCUCAGCGCCGAUGAUACUGCAUCUUAAGAUGUGGGAAAGUAGGUCACCGCCAGGA